UACAGAGGGGGCGAGCGUUGUCCGGAAUUAUUGGGCGUAAAGAGCUCGUAGGCGGUUUGUCGCGUCUGCCGUGAAAGUCCGGGGCUCAACUCCGGAUCUGCGGUGGGUACGGGCAGACUAGAGUGAUGUAGGGGAGACUGGAAUUCCCGGUGUAGUGGUGAAAUGCGUAGAGAUCGGGAGGAACACCUGCGGCGAAGGCGGGUUGCUGGGCUGACACUGACGCUGAUGCGCGAAAGCCAGGGGAGCGAACGGG
rnacentral:rRNA from 1 species